CCCUUAGAGUUUGAUCCUGGCUCAGGACGAACGCUGGCGGCGCGCCUAACACAUGCAAGUCGAACGAGCGAGAGAGAGCUUGCUUUCUCAAGCGAGUGGCGAACGGGUGAGUAACGCGUGAGGAACCUGCCUCAAAGAGGGGGACAACAGUUGGAAACGACUGCUAAUACCGCAUAAGCCCACGACCCGGCAUCGGGUAGAGGGAAAAGGAGCAAUCCGCUUUGAGAUGGCCUCGCGUCCGAUUAGCUAGUUGGUGAGGUAACGGCCCACCAAGGCGACGAUCGGUAGCCGGACUGAGAGGUUGAACGGCCACAUUGGGACUGAGACACGGCCCAGACUCCUACGGGAGGCAGCAGUGGGGAAUAUUGCACAAUGGGGGAAACCCUGAUGCAGCGACGCCGCGUGGAGGAAGAAGGUCUUCGGAUUGUAAACUCCUGUUGUUGAGGAAGAUAAUAGACGGUACUCAACAAGGAAGUACGGCUACUC
rnacentral:rRNA from 1 species